rnacentral:lncRNA from 1 species
CCUGGAGUGAAGGACUUUCACAGCCCAGCUCUCUGGUAUGGACCCAAUGUCACUGACUACUGAUUCUGCUCAGGCCUCUGGAAAGCCCCUUUGGAAGUUGGGUGUAGCCAUGUGGCUUUCUUGAAUCAGUGAAAUGUGAGCAAAUUGAUGGUGUCGCUUCUGGGCAGAAGUGGUGAGAUCCAGGAAUCCGACAGGCCACCCACCCACUCCCUGCAUUCUCAUUUCCUGCCUUGGUAAUUGUAAAAGGAUGUUCUGUGAUGUUGUUGCCUGAAUUAGGCAGGGACAAUAAAUACAUUUUUU